AUUGAACGCUGGCGGCAGGCCUAACACAUGCAAGUCGAACGAGAGGCGGACGGGUGAGUAAUGUCUGGGAACCUGCCUGACGGAGGGGGAUAACUACUGGAAAAGGUAGCUAAUACCGCAUACCCUCAGAUGAGCACAGAUGGGAUUAGCUUGUCGGUGGGGUAACGGCUCACCAAGGCGACGAUCCCUAGCCGGUCUGAGAGGAUGACCAGCCACACUGGAACUGAGACACGGUCCAGACUCCUACGGGAGGCAGCAGUGGGGAAUAUUGCACAAUGGGCGCAAGCCUGAUGCAGCCAUGCCGCGUGUAUGAAGAAUGCCUUCGGGUUGUAAAGUACUUUCGGCGGGGAGGCGUUACCCGCAGAAGAAGCACCGGCUAACUCCGCGCCAGCAGCCGCGGUAAUAC
rnacentral:rRNA from 1 species